AUACGUAGGGGGCGAGCGUUGUCCGGAAUUACUGGGCGUAAAGGGCGUGUAGGCGGCCUGUCAAGUCAGGGGUGAAAGCCCGGGGCUCAACUCCGGGUGUGCCCUUGAGACUGAUGGGCUUGAGUGCUCCAGAGGGCAGUGGAAUUCCCGGUGUAGCGGUGAAAUGCGUAGAGAUCGGGAGGAACACCAGUGGCGAAGGCGGCUGCCUGGGGAGCAACUGACGCUGAGGCGCGAAAGCUGGGGGAGCAAACAGGAUUAGAUACCCUGGUAGUCCCAGCCGUAAACGAUGAGUGCUAGGUGUGAGGGGUAUCGACCCUCCUCGUGCCGUAGCUAACGCAAUAAGCACUCCGCCUGGGGAGUACGGCCGCAAGGUUGAA
rnacentral:rRNA from 1 species